AUGAGUGGUAAAGUCUCUCGCUACACCCUGUACGAGUUGGUGCGGGAAGUCCUGCACGGGAACCAGUGGAAGCGCCACAAGUUUUUGGAGAUGGUGGAGCUGCAGAUCAGCCUAAAGAACUAUGAUCCUCAGAAGGACAAACACUUCUCUGGCACCAUCAGGCUUAAGUCCACCCCCCGCCCCAAGUUCUCCGUGUGUGUCCUGGGGGACCAGCAGCACUGCGAUGAGGCCAAGGCUGUGGACAUUCCCCACAUGGACAUUGAGGCACUGAAGAAACUCAACAAAAGUAGACUCUGGUCAAGAAGCUGGCCAAGAAGUAUGAUGCCUUUUUGGCCCCAGAGUCUCUUACCGAGCAGAUCCCACCAAUCCUGGGCCCAGGCCUAAAUAAGGCUGGCAAGUUUCCUGCCCUGCUGACACACAAUGAAAACACGGUGGCCAAAGUUGAUGAGGUGAAGUCCACAAUCAAGUUCCAGAUGAAGAAGGUUCUAUGUCUGGCUGUGGCUGUUGGGCACGCGAAGAUGACAGAUGAUGAGCUGGUGUGCAGCAUCCACCUGGCUGUUGACUUUUUGGUGUCAUUGCUUAAGAAGAAUUGGCAUAAUGUCUUGGCUUUAUACAUCAAGAGCACCAUGGGCAAGUCCCAGCACCUGUAUUAAGGCAUAGUCUAAU